rnacentral:rRNA from 1 species
UACGAAGGGGGCGAGCGUUGUUCGGAAUUACUGGGCGUAAAGAGCGCGCAGGCGGUCGAUUUAGUCGUGUGUGAAAGCCCCCGGCUCAACUGGGGAGGGUCACGCGAUACUGAUCGACUCGAAGGCAGGAGAGGGUAGUGGAAUUCCCGGUGUAGUGGUGAAAUGCGUAGAUAUCGGGAGGAACACCAGUGGCGAAGGCGACUACCUGGCCUGUUCUUGACGCUGAGGCGCGAAAGCUAGGGGAGCAAACGGG